GCCGGCAGCGAAAGCGAGUCUGAAUAGGGCGACCCACACGCGCAUACGCGCGUGUGAAUAGUGGCGUGUUCUGGACCCGAAGCGGAGUGAUCUACCCAUGGCCAGGGUGAAGCGCGGGUAAGACCGCGUGGAGGCCCGAACCCACUUAGGUUGAAGACUGAGGGGAUGAGCUGUGGGUAGGGGUGAAAGGCCAAUCAAACUCCGUGAUAGCUGGUUCUCCCCGAAAUGCAUUUAGGUGCAGCGUUGCGUGGUUCACCGCGGAGGUAGAGCUACUGGAUGGCCGAUGGGCCCUACUAGGUUACUGACGUCAGCCAAACUCCGAAUGCCGUGGUGUAAAGCGUGGCAGUGAGACGGCGGGGGAUAAGCUCCGUACGUCGAAAGGGAAACAGCCCAGAUCGCCGGCUAAGGCCCCCAAGCGUGUGCUAAGUGGGAAAGGAUGUGCAGUCGCAAAGACAACCAGGAGGUUGGCUUAGAAGCAGCCACCCUUGAAAGAGUGCGUAAUAGCUCACUGGUCAAGUGAUUGUGCGCCGAUAAUGUAGCGGGGCUCAAGCACACCGCCGAAGCCGCGGCACAUCCACCUUGUGGUGGGUGUGGGUAGGGGAGCGUCCCUCAUUCAGCGAAGCCACCGGGUGACCGGUGGUGGAGGGUGGGGGAGUGAGAAUGCAGGCAUGAGUAGCGACAAGGCAAGUGAGAACCUUGCCCGCCGAAAGACCAAGGGUUCCUGGGCCAGGCCAGUCCGCCCAGGGUGAGUCGGGACCUAAGGCGAGGCCGACAGGCGUAGUCGAUGGACAACGGGUUGAUAUUCCCGUACCCGUGUGUGGGCGCCCGUGACGAAUCAGCGGUACUAACCACCCAAAACCGGAUCGAUCACUCCCCUUCGGGGGUGUGGAGUUCUGGGGCUGCGUGGGAACUUCGCUGGUAGUAGUCAAGCGAAGGGGUGACGCAGGAAGGUAGCCGUACCAGUCAGUGGUAACACUGGGGCAAGCCGGUAGGGAGAGCGAUAGGCAAAUCCGUCGCUCACUAAUCCUGAGAGGUGACGCAUAGCCGGUUGAGGCGAAUUCGGUGAUCCUCUGCUGCCAAGAAAAGCCUCUAGCGAGCACACACACGGCCCGUACCCCAAACCGACACAGGUGGUCAGGUAGAGCAUACCAAGGCGUACGAGAUAACUAUGGUUAAGGAACUCGGCAAAAUGCCCCCGUAACUUCGGGAGAAGGGGGACCGGAAUAUCGUGAACACCCUUGCGGUGGGAGCGGGAUCCGGUCGCAGAAACCAGUGAGGAGCGACUGUUUACUAAAAACACAGGUCCGUGCGAAGUCGCAAGACGAUGUAUACGGACUGACGCCUGCCCGGUGCUGGAAGGUUAAGAGGACCCGUUAACCCGCAAGGGUGAAGCGGAGAAUUUAAGCCCCAGUAAACGGCGGUGGUAACUAUAACCAUCCUAAGGUAGCGAAAUUCCUUGUCGGGUAAGUUCCGACCUGCACGAAUGGCGUAACGACUUCUCAACUGUCUCAACCAUAGACUCGGCGAAAUUGCACUACGAGUAAAGAUGCUCGUUACGCGCGGCAGGACGAAAAGACCCCGGGACCUUCACUACAACUUGGUAUUGAUGUUCGGUACGGUUUGUGUAGGAUAGGUGGGAGACUGUGAAACCUCGACGCCAGUUGGGGCGGAGUCGUUGUUGAAAUACCACUCUGAUCGUAUUGGGCAUCUAACCUCGAACCCUGAAUCGGGUUUAGGGACAGUGCCUGGCGGGUAGUUUAACUGGGGCGGUUGCCUCCUAAAAUGUAACGGAGGCGCCCAAAGGUUCCCUCAACCUGGACGGCAAUCAGGUGGCGAGUGUAAAUGCACAAGGGAGCUUGACUGCGAGACUUACAAGUCAAGCAGGGACGAAAGUCGGGAUUAGUGAUCCGGCACCCCCGAGUGGAAGGGGUGUCGCUCAACGGAUAAAAGGUACCCCGGGGAUAACAGGCUGAUCUUCCCCAAGAGUCCAUAUCGACGGGAUGGUUUGGCACCUCGAUGUCGGCUCGUCGCAUCCUGGGGCUGGAGCAGGUCCCAAGGGUUGGGCUGUUCGCCCAUUAAAGCGGCACGCGAGCUGGGUUUAGAACGUCGUGAGACAGUUCGGUCUCUAUCCGCCGCGCGCGUCAGAAACUUGAGGAAACCUGUCCCUAGUACGAGAGGACCGGGACGGACGAACCUCUGGUGCACCAGUUGUCCCGCCAGGGGCACCGCUGGAUAGCCACGUUCGGUCAGGAUAACCGCUGAAAGCAUCUAAGCGGGAAACCUUCUCCAAGAUCAGGUUUCUCACCCACUUGGUGGGAUAAGGCCCCCCGCAGAACACGGGUUCAAUAGGUCAGACCUGGAAGCUCAGUAAUGGGUGUAGGGAACUGGUGCUAACCGGCCGAAAACUUACAACA
rnacentral:rRNA from 1 species